GACGAACGCUGGCGGCGUGCUUAACACAUGCAAGUCGAACGGAGCUAUUUAUUUCGGUAAACAGCUUAGUGGCAAACGGGUGAGUAACGCGUAGGCAACCUGCCCUCAGGAUGGGGACAACGGCUCGAAAGAGCCGCUAAUACCGAAUGACGUAUCCUUUCCACAUGGAAGAGAUACUAAAGAUGGGUCAAACCAUCGCCCGAGGAUGGGCCUGCGUCUGAUUAGCCAGUUGGUGAGGUAACGGCUCACCAAAGCAACGAUCAGUAGCCGGUCUGAGAGGAUGAACAGCCACAAUGGGACUGAGACACGGCCCAUACUCCUACGGGAGGCAGCAGUGGGGAAUCUUCCGCAAUGGGCGCAAGCCUGACGGAGCAACGCCGCGUGAGUGAAGAAGGUCUUCGGAUCGUAAAGCUCUGUUGUCGGGGACGAAAGGAAAGGGGAGGCAAUGCCCUUUUUAAGACGGUACCCGACGAGGAAGCCACGG
rnacentral:rRNA from 1 species